rnacentral:rRNA from 1 species
UACGAAGGGGGCUAGCGUUGUUCGGAUUUACUGGGCGUAAAGCGCACGUAGGCGGAUCGUUAAGUCAGGGGUGAAAUCCUGGAGCUCAACUCCAGAACUGCCUUUGAUACUGGCGAUCUUGAGUCCGGAAGAGGUGAGUGGAACUCCUAGUGUAGAGGUGGAAUUCGUAGAUAUUAGGAAGAACACCAGUGGCGAAGGCGGCUCACUGGUCCGGUACUGGACGCUGAGGUGCGAAAGCGUGGGGAGCAAACAGGG